ACUGAGAGUACAGCAAGUUCAGGAACCUCCUCUUCUCACUUUCCAUUAUACAGGGCAUGUAUAUUUCCAGCACCUGACACAGUGCCAGUUACUGAAAAGGCAUUGAUUAAUAUUGUUUCAUAAAUUCAUGACAUUAAUAGGCAUUUGCUACUAAAGAGCCAAACUAGCUAGCAUCCACAACAAGGUAAAAACAGUCAACCCAAUGGUACAUGGUAUUUCUGAUGAUUCUUCUCUCAUUAAAGAGAAUUUUUCUAGAUAUUGCUUCUUCUUUGAUUACAACCACCAACAAAUGAAGCCAGGCUGCAUGGCUCAGCUCCUGGUAUAUACGAGACAUGCAGGGUUAUUUGGGUUGGAUUCUAAUUUCACAAAUCUUAUCACAAGCAACAAGCAUGAUUAAAAACUUUAGCCAUCUAGAAAGCAAAAACUACUUGUUUUUCUUUUUCUGAAGCUUCUGGAGUGGGGGAAAACUAAUGUUUUAUAUAAAUAACCGAGAAAAUACAACCAGAAGUUUUAGCAAUUGCCUGACCCAAUCCUCAGGCCACAUCUUCAGUUCCUGCCCUUCCCCAUCUCUCUUGCCCUCUGGGUAGCUUGCUCCACACUGGUUUCCUCUCUCUGCCCUGGCACCUGCCAGAGAAGAAGCAGAUGCUCAUCUUGGCUAGCCCCACAUGGCCACAGCAGGCAUUCUGGUCUCUCUGCUUCCUGCCUCGUGUGCAUGCCCAGGUGUUGCGUCAGAGAACUUCAAGAGCUAAAGCACAGCCUUCGCAAGUCAGUCAGAUGGAGCCAGCCCUACAAAACAUCAGCUAUGACAUUCUGCCACCUCUGGUCUUCUCCACUCAGGAAUCCCUGUUCACAUUCCACACUGUCCCCUACCCUAGUACCCUCAGAUCACUGAUGCUCUUCCGAUCCCCCUUCUGGAAACUGCUCUUGGUUGAAGAGUCCUGCGUCACAUCCCAGGUUAUGCCUCUUUUCUAGGGGCAGCCUAUAUCCAAUAACUGGUCAGUGCCAGGGACAUAAGGCUCAGCCCCCUUACCUCAGAGUAGGACAACCAUGAAAGGCCAUCCUUACUCUAGAGCUUGCUGGGGGAUCAGCAAAUCCUCUAUUGCAACUGCAUCCUUGUCUUGUUUCAGAUCUUAGAGAAAAGGCUUUCCAUUAUUCCCCAUUCAGUGUGAUGUUAGCUGUGGGUUUGACAUGUGUAGCCUUCAUUGUUUUGAAGUAUGUUCCUUUUGUACCCAGUUUGUUGAGAGUUUUUAUUGAAAAGCAAUCUUGGAUUUUAUCAAAUGCUUUUCUAACAUCCAUGGAUAUAAU
rnacentral:lncRNA from 1 species